UGGUUCCAAUCAUCACCUUCUUAUCCGAUUCCACAAUCUACAGCCCUGUGUUCCUCCAGCAGCUUACUUUGUUUGCUCUGGGAAUUAAGAGCACAUCGAGACAAUUGAUUACAAUUUCUGAAGUUCAAAAUCUGCACAGGAGAGUGAAAGCUUUGGAAACAGGCUCUUCAGCCCACCGAAUCCAAGCCGACUAUCAAUCACAGCACAAGGUAUGUUGACAAUGCGAAUCAUUUGCUCAAUUAUAUUGAUGGAUGGUUAAUGAUGCUGUAUGUCCCAGAACAUAAGCCCAUGAUGUUGAAAAAAGGGACACCACAUUAACAAGAUGUCUGUAUUUUUAGAGUGCCCAGAAGUUCCAUGACUGGCUCUGGAAAUGAGACAUGGCAAGCUUGGCAUAUGGAAACAGAAGUGCAGCUGCUAGAGGUGACAGAUGCUGUGUAUGCGCUGGUCAUGGGUCCUGGUGUCAGCGGAGGUGGCAGAGAUAGACCUACAGCAGCCGGGUGAGUGUGUGGAUCAUGUGCUGCUUGCAGCAGCUGCACGGAGCGGCAGUGGAAGGAGCCAACGGCAUUGUGCUGGGCCAGGCCAACCCCCACUUCAGUGGUCCAAUGCAAACAAGACACUGGACCUUAAAAUAAUAAAUUACAAUCGCCAAUAGACAAUAGGUGCUGGAGUAGGCCAUUAGGCCCUUCGAGCCAGCACCACCAUUCAAUGUGAUCAUGGUUGAUCAUCCCCAAUCAGUACCCCUUUACUGCCUUCUCCCCAUAUCCCCUGACUGCUAUCUUUAAGAGCCUUAUCUAGCUCUCUCUUGAGCUAAGAUUGGACUUUUCAGAGACUUGGAAGUUGCAAGAUGGCACUGGAAUAUGGUGACUCUUUGAUUGUUCUUCCAGAAGAGGAUCUAUUAUUCUCACUAUGGUACGGUUUGACUGGAGAGCAUAAGGAACAAGCAUUUCACUGGAUCUCAGGCAAUAAAUGAAAGUAUAUGGCCACUGGAUUAAUACAAUUUUAAACCCAUUUUGAGCAUGCUUGAAUAAUAGUGUCUGAACUAAAUAUAUAGUUUAGUGCUUUAGAACCACCAAGCUCUGCACAAUUUCUCCUGAUCUUGCCAGUGGCAAGACAUACCAUUAGCACACUUAAACUGCAAGAAACAAACGGUAAGUAGUGUAUAUAAUUAAAGCCACAGGCAAACAUAAAAACAUGCCAAUUUCUUUUCUGAAUAUCUCAGGGCAUGAAAAUUAAAUUUUGAGGUCCUGCUCAUGUAAAUUAGACACAGAUGCUUAAGAAAAUGCAACAAUGGAAAGUUUUGAUUUUUAAUUUAAAGCACCCCAAUGUCAGUGUUUCGGAACUCAAUGAGAGGCAAUUUAUAUUAACACAAAAUCAUUGAGAAAAAUACAUAGAAACUUUCCCAAGACUCUUUUUUACCCAACCCAACUUUUUUCUGCUUGCCAAUUGCCAAUGUAACUUCCAGUCAGAGUCAUACAGCUUGGAAACAGUAAAAAAAAAAGGAACUGCUGGUUCUGGUUUAUACCAAAGAUAAACACAAAAUGAUAAGAGUAACUUGGUGGGUCACGCAGCAUCUCUGGAGAAAAUGGAUAGGUGACAUUUCGGGUCUGGAUCCUUCUCGAAUCAGAGAUGCUGUCUGACCUGCAGAGUUAUUCAGUAUUUUGUGUGUUAUCUUCAGUAUGGAACCAGGCCUUUCUGUCUCACUUGUCCACGCCCACCAAGAUGCCCCAUUUGAACUGGUCCCAUCUAUCCCCGUUUGGCUCGCAUUCCAUUAAACCUUUUCAAUC